rnacentral:rRNA from 1 species
CCUACGGGAGGCUGCAGUGGGGAAUCUUUCGCAAUGGGCGAAAGCCUGACGGAGCAACGCCGCGUGCUCGAAUGAAGGCCUUCGGGUUGUAAAUAUCUUUUUACAGGGACGAAUAAGCGAUGCGAAUAGUUUUAUGUAUGACGGUAUCUGUUUAGAAAGCUCCGGCGAACUCCGUGUCAGCAGCCUCGUGAAUACGUAUGGAGCUAGCGUUGUCCGGAAUUACUGGGUGUAAAGGGCGCGUAGGUGGGCGCUUAAGUCAGGUGCGAAAACUCCGGGCUCAAGCUCGGGACUGCAGUUGAAACUGGGUGUCUUGAGGGAGGGAGAGGAAUGUGGAAUGCGUGGUGUAGCGGUGAAAUGCAUAGAUAUCAGGAAGAACUCCGGUGGCGAAGGCAGCAUUCUGG